ACUGUGUUUUGUUGAUAUUCCUUAGUUCGUUUAAAAAAGUUUUUAAAAUUUAAAUAGUUAAUAAAGUAUGCUUAUAUUUUAUUGAUAGUAGUUCCCCACUAUUAAUUUUGUACUACGAUUAAAACAUUUUUUAGAAUAUCUCCCAGAUUCUGAAGUUACCGAUCAGUAAAACACAAAUUUGUGCAUUUUUCCAUUGGAAAUGGCAUUGAAAUUAAGUUAACAAUGAAACUGGUUAUGUUUUAUGAAGAUGCGGUUUUGAUUUUUAAGUUUUUAUUAAGUUAACUUUUAAGACAAACAUUACAGAACUAGCGAAAUAAACAAUUUAUGUAUAUUUCAGGGUGAAUUUCCAUACCCUAGUACUUCUUCAUGGACUAAUUCUGAGUUGGGCAUACCCGCAGUUAAAGAAUGAAGGGUAGCAUCUUCGUACUUCAAAAGUUUCGUUAAGUUAAAUAUUUUGAUGGAAUGUUAAAUGGAAAAUGUAUACAACUUCAAAAAUAACAAAUUAUUUUAUUUUCUUAGUCGCCGUGUACGAAAUGGGUUAUAAUGUCAUGUUACUACGUAAUCAUGCCCGGCAUGACAUCUUUUAGUUAUUUUAGUCAACAAAGUAUUUAUCCUUUAAAUUAAACGUUUUUUUUUAACAGUUGAGUUGUGCUAUUUUUCGGAAGUUUAUUGCAUUUUUUAUAUUACUCUAGUUAACGAAGUUGUUUUUCCUUUGAAUGAAAACUCUGUUUUCUUAACAAUGGAGGUGUACUGUUUGUCGGAAUAAAUAUAUAUCUAAAUGCGUUUUCCUCCAGCGCUUUGAAGAUCUA